GCCGGAGUCAAGCAAAACUCGGAGCUUCUCAUGCCUCGUGUGGCUUCCGCAAGACCGGCAUCGUCUGGAAGUCCUUUCUCGAGCAAAACUUCUGGACGAAAGCGAAAGAAAAGCUAUCACACUCAAGAACAGGAAAGUUCUGUUACCCUGUGACGAUGGCGAGCUCCUCUGAAGUACAGGAGAACAGUCCGGUGU